rnacentral:lncRNA from 1 species
CCGGCUCACAGCAACCUCCGCCUCCUGGGUUCAAGCGAUUCUCCUGGCUUAGUCUCCGAGUAGCUGGGAUUACAGGCAUGCGCCACCACGCCCAGUUGACAAGCAUUUUCUUGUGUGAUCCUCGCAGCAGUUCUCUGUGAAGCAGGCAUUGCUAUCCUACAGGUUGGGAAAAGAGGGCCAGAGAGGAUCAGUGACUUGCUCACGGUCGCACGGCCUGGAAGACAUGGAGAGCUGGACCAGCACGCACAGUCCCUAACCACUGGGACGUGCUGGCGGGGGCUACCUCCGUGAGGUGUGUGUCUCCGGUCGCCCCGCCCCCGGUGUGUGCGGAGGAGCAGGCGGGGACUACAAGUCCCGGCAGCCCCGGCGCGGGCGCUGCGAGGGCCGCAGAGGGCCGGGCGGGGCUUGCGGCGCGCACGGAGGGACUGCGGCAGUGUCGGAGCCGCGCCGAGCCUGGUCGCUCAGGUGCCCCGCCCGCGCCAGCCCUGCUCCAGCCCCGCGCUAGCCCAGCGCCCCUCGCCCCGGGCCGUCCGGACCGCGCCCCCGCCCAGGGCCUUGCGCACGCCGGGGCUCAGGCCGAGGGCCGCAGCGCCGGGGCCGGCGAUGAGCGCGAGGAGCCGGCAUGAGCGCAGACAGCAGCCCUCUCGUGGGCAGCACGCCCACCGGUUAUGGGACCCUGACGAUAGGGACAUCAAUAGAUCCCCUCAGCUCCUCAGUUUCAUCCGUGAGGCUCAGCGGCUACUGUGGCAGUCCAUGGAGGGUCAUCGGCUAUCACGUCGUGGUCUGGAUGAUGGCUG